rnacentral:rRNA from 1 species
GACGAACGCUGGCGGCGUGCCUAAUACAUGCAAGUAGAACGCUGAAGAGAGGAGCUUACUCUUCUUGGAUGAGUUGCGCACGGGUGAGUAACGCGUAGGUAACCUGCCUUGUAGCGGGGGAUAACUAUUGGAAACGAUAGCUAAUACCGCAUAACAAUGGAUGACACAUGUCAUUUAUUUGAAAGGGGCAAUUGCUCCACUACAAGAUGGACCUGCGUUGUAUUAGCUAGUAGGUGAGGUAAUGGCUCACCUAGGCGACGAUACAUAGCCGACCUGAGAGGGUGAUCGGCCACACUGGGACUGAGACACGGCCCAGACUCCUACGGGAGGCAGCAGUAGGGAAUCUUCGGCAAUGGGGGCAACCCUGAACGAGCAACGCCGCGGGAGUGAAGAAGGGUUUCGGAUCGUAAAGCUCUGUUGUAAGUCAAGAAAGGGUGUGAGAGUGGAAAGUUCACACUGUGACGGUAGCUUACCAGAAAGGGACGGCUAACUACGUG